GACAAGCAACGUUGAUAACAUGCUGUAUUCCUAGAAGAGUUCAGGUUUUCUCAAAAGUAAGAAGGGCCCAGGAUUUUUGUUCCCAUAUGUGGAUAUUGAAUUUCCUGAGGUAUCGUGAAGCAUCGUCUGAGAGAUUUCUCAUUCCCUGUGAUGGGUUCAGCUGGCAAUUCUGUAUAGUAUAUCAGAAGCAGAACAUUGGCCUGAUUAUGAAGAACUUGCAUAAUUUUGUUUAUGUGCAUUAGUUUAACUUUAGUGGAUCUGACCUGCCGCUGCCCAUUAUUCCCUCCCAAGGCAUAAUUAUGAAGAACUUGCACAGAUUGUUAUUAGUGCAACCAACUCAAAAUUGAGAUUGGAGAUACUUCAUUCUUUCAAUGUCAGUUUGGCUGGACAUGUUGGAAAUUAUCUUUGGUCAGAUCUCCCAUUCUCCUCCUUUACCAUGUGUUAUCAUAAGCGUCAGGUUUUAUUUUUCAGUCUGUGGAGAAGGAUGUUAGGACAUACAACACCUUUUAUUAUCAAUCCAGCGUAAAUUGCAUCUCCGAUUUACGUAUGACUUCCAGAUGCAUU